CUCCCUUGGGAGGCAACCAUCCUAAAAUCGGAACAGCGCAGAGAAGAUUAGAAUGGCCCCUGCACAAGGAUGAAACACAGAUUCACGAAGUGUCCCAUAGUUUU